rnacentral:rRNA from 1 species
CUUGCCUACGGGAGGCAGCAGUGGGGGAUAUUGCACAAUGGGGGGAACCCUGAUGCAGCGACGCCGCGUAGGUGAAGAAGCGUUUCGGCGCGUAAAGCCCUGUCAGCAGGGAAGAAGAUGACGGUACCUGACCAAGAAGCCCCGGCUAAUUACGUGCCAGCAGCCGCGGUAAUACGUAGGGGGCAAGCGUUAUCCGGAUUUACUGGUUGUAAAGGGGGCGCAGACGGCGAUGCAAGCCAGGAGUGAA